rnacentral:misc_RNA from 1 species
UACUCUCACACUCCCGAUCUUUGGAUUGGGAGCGGUGGACUUGGGUGUUGCUGCUUACCGUGGCUCACCUCAAAUGAAGUCGUGCACCUCUUGGUUGGACAUAGUACGGCGUGAUAAGUGUCUUCGCCGGCGCCUCACUAGAGGGUGGCCGAUCGGGAGCUCUGUGCUUCCAACCGUCCUCGGACAACAACUGACA